GGAGGAGGCGCAUAACGGCUGGUGCCAUAGUCUUGAAAACUAUAACCCGCAAGGGUUAAGUGGGUUCGACUCCCACCUCCUCCGCCA
rnacentral:tRNA from 1 species